UACGUAGGGGGCAAGCGUUGUCCGGAUUCAUUGGGCGUAAAGAGCGUGUAGGCGGCCAGGUAGGUCGGUUGUGAAAACUGGAGGCUCAACCUUCAGAGGUCGACCGAAACCAUCUGGCUAGAGUCCGGGAGAGGAGAGUGGAAUUCCUGGUGUAGCGGUGAAAUGCGCAGAUAUCAGGAGGAACACCGAUGGCGAAGGCAGGUCUCUGGGCAUUAACUGACGCUGGAGGAGCGAAAGCAUGGGGAGCGAACAGG
rnacentral:rRNA from 1 species